rnacentral:rRNA from 1 species
GACAGAGGUGCCGAGCGUUAGGCGGAAUCACUGGGCUUAAAGCGUGUGUAGGCGGGCCGUUAAGUAUCUUGUGAAAUCCCCCGGCUCAACCGGGGAAUGGCUGGAUAUACUGGCGGUCUUGAGCGAUCUAGGGGCAGAUGGAACAAGUGGUGGAGCGGUGAAAUGCGUAGAUAUCAUUUGGAACGCCAACGGCGAAAGCAGGCAGCUGGGGCUGCACCGACGCUGAGACACGAAAGCCAGGGGAGCGAACGGG